UCCCGUGUGGCUCAGUUGGUAGAGCAUGGUGUUUGCAACACCAGGGUUGUGGGUUCGAAUUCCCACUGGGGAC
rnacentral:tRNA from 1 species